rnacentral:rRNA from 1 species
AACGAACGCUGGCGGCAGGCUUAACACGUGCAAGUCGAGCGCCCCGCAAGGGGAGCGGCAGACGGGUGAGUAACGCGUGGGGAUCUACCCAUCUCUACGGAAUAACGCAUGGAAACGUGUGCUAAUACCGUAUACCUCCUUCGGGAGAAAGAUUUAUCGGUGUGGGAUGAGCCCGCGUUGGAUUAGCUAGUUGGUGGGGUAAAGGCCCACCAAGGCGACGAUCCAUAGCUGGUCUGAGAGGAUGAUCAGCCACACUGGGACUGAGACACGGCCCAGACUCCUACGGGAGGCAGCAGUGGGGAAUAUUGGACAAUGGGCGCAAGCCUGAUGCAGCCAUGCCGCGUGAGUGAAGAAGGCCCUAGGGUUGUAAAGCUCUUUCACCGGUGAAGAUAAUGACGGUAACCGGAGAAGAAGCCCCGGCUAACUUCGUGCCAGCCGCCGCCGUAAAAC